CAGUAGCCGCGGUAAUACAGAGGGUGCGAGCGUUAAUCGGAUUUACUGGGCGUAAAGCGUGCGUAGGCGGCUUCUUAAGUCGGAUGUGAAAUCCCUGAGCUUAACUUAGGAAUUGCAUUCGAUACUGGGAAGCUAGAGUAUGGGAGAGGAUGGUAGAAUUCCAGGUGUAGCGGUGAAAUGCGUAGAGAUCUGGAGGAAUACCGAUGGCGAAGGCAGCCAUCUGGCCUAAUACUGACGCUGAGGUACGAAAGCAUGGGGAGCAAACAGGAUUAGAUACCGUGUAGUCCCUGUCUCUUAUACA
rnacentral:rRNA from 1 species